rnacentral:rRNA from 1 species
CGCAAAAUGACACCGUAACUUCGGGAGAAGGUGUGCCCUCUGUACGUGAAGCCCCUUGCGGGUGGAGCGGAAGAGGGUUGCAGAGAAACGGGGGUAACGACUGUUUACCAAAAACCCAGCACUGUGCGAAGUCGGAAGACGACGUAUACGGUGUGAUGCCUGCCCGGUGCCGGAAGGUUAAGGGGAGUUGUCAGCCGCAAGGCAAAGCAGCGAACCGAAGCCCCGGUAAACGGCGGCCGUAACAAUAACGGUCCUAAGGUAGCGAAAUUCCUUGUCGGGUAAGUUCCGACCUGCACGAAUGGCAUAACGACUUCCCCACUGUCUCGAGCAGGGACUCAGCGAAGUAGCACUAGGGGUGAAGAUACCCUUUACCCGCGGCAGGACGGAAAGACCCCGUGAACCUUUACUGUAACUUGGCACUGAACUUCGGGUUCGUUUGCGUAGGAUAGGUGGGACGCUAGGAAGCAUGGACUCCGGUCUGUGUGGAGCGGCCGUUGAAAUACCACCCUGACGAAUCUGGAGUUCUAACCUGCACCCGUGAGCCGGGUGGGGGACAAUGCCUGGUGGGCAGUUUGACUGGGGCGGUCGCCUCCCAAAGAGUAACGGAGGCGCGCGAAGGUUCCCUCAGGCUGAUUGGAAACCAGCCGACGAGUGUAAUGGCAUAAGGGAGCUUGACUGCGAGACUGACAAGUCGAGCAGGUGCGAAAGCAGGUCAUAGUGAUCCGGUGGUUCUGAAUGGAAGGGCCAUCGCUCAACGGAUAAAAGGUACUCCGGGGAUAACAGGCUUAUCACGCCCAAGAGUUCACAUCGACGGCGUGGUUUGGCACCUCGAUGUCGGCUCAUCGCAUCCUGGGGCUGAAGUUGGUCCCAAGGGUUUGGCUGCUCGCCAAUUAAAGCGGUACGCGAGCUGGGUUCAAAACGUCGUGAGACAGUUUGGUCCCUAUCCGCCGUGGGCGCAGGACGCUUGAGAGGAUCUGUCCUUAGUACGAGAGGACCGGGAUGGACGGACCGCUAGUGUUCCGGUUGUGGCGCCAGCUGCGAUGCCGGGUAGCUAUGUUCGGAAGGGAUAACCGCUGAAAGCAUCUAAGCGGGAAGCCCACCUCGAGAUAAGGCGUCCCUGAGACUUCGGUCUCCUGAAGACCCCAUGUAGACCACGUGGUUGAUAGGCUGGGUGUGGAAGCGCUGCAAGGCGCGGAGCUAACCAGUACUAAUCGGUCGUGAGGCUUGACCAC